rnacentral:rRNA from 1 species
GUUAUAGGGUCAAGCGAACAAGUGCAUGUGGUGGAUGCCUUGGCGAUCACAGGCGAUGAAGGACGCGGUAGCCUGCGAAAAGCUUCGGGGAGCUGGCAAACAAGCUUUGAUCCGGAGAUGUCCGAAUGGGGAAACCCGGCCCGAAUGGGUCAUCCCACACUGAAUCCAUAGGUGUGGGAAGCGAACGCGGCGAACUGAAACAUCUAAGUAGCUGCAGGAACAGAAAUCAACCGAGAUUCCCAAAGUAGUGGCGAACGAAAUGGGAAGAGCCUUGUACUCUUUAGCAGUGGUGUUAGCAGAACGGGAUGGAAAGCCCGGCCCUAGCAGGUGAUAGCCCUGUAUGCGAAAACACGAUUGUGGAACUAGGUGUACGACAAGUAGGGCGGGACACGUGAAAUCCUGUCUGAAGAUGGGGGGACCAUCCUCCAAGGCUAAAUACUCGUGAUCGACCGAUAGUGAACCAGUACCGUGAGGGAAAGGCGAAAAGAACCCCGGGAGGGGAGUGAAAUAGAUCCUGAAACCGCAUGCAUACAAACAGUCGGAGCCCCGCUUUAAGCGCUUUCGGCGAUUUUUGCGACAGUAAAAAUCGUCAAAAGACACCAGUGUGAAAUAGCACCACUGGCGCGCAAAGCGGUUUAAGCGCGAGAGCGCUUAAAGCGGGGUGACGGCGUACCUUUUGUAUAAUGGGUCAGCGACUUACAUUCAGUGGCAAGCUUAACCGAUUAGGGAAGGCGUAGCGAAAGCGAGUCCGAACAGGGCGUUGAGUCGCUGGGUGUAGACCCGAAACCAGAUGAUCUAUCCAUGGCCAGGUUGAAGGUGCGGUAACACGUACUGGAGGACCGAACCCACUAACGUUGAAAAGUUAGGGGAUGAGCUGUGGAUAGGGGUGAAAGGCUAAACAAAUCUGGAAAUAGCUGGUUCUCUCCGAAAACUAUUUAGGUAGUGCCUCGUGUCUCACCUUCGGGGGAUGAUGUUUGUGGUGGUUGGGGUCUAUUGCUGAUUACCCCGCCAUAGCAAACUCCGAAUACCGAAGAGUGCAAUCACGGGAGACAGACAUCGGGUGCUAACGUCCGGUGUCAAGAGGGAAACAACCCAGACCGCCAGCUAAGGUCCCCAAAUAUAGCUAAGUGGGAAACGAAGUGGGAAGGCUAAAACAGUCAGGAGGUUGGCUUAGAAGCAGCCACCCUUUAAAGAAAGCGUAAUAGCUCACUGAUCGAGUCGUCCUGCGCGGAAGAUGUAACGGGGCUAAGCUAUAUACCGAAGCUGCGGACGCGUGCGCUCCUUUAAGUGCACCAAGCUUGUCGAUGCGCAGCAUCGACAAAGCACCCAAACAAUGAUCGUUGGGUGUCAAUGCUAGUGGAUUUAAAGGAGCGUACGCGUGGUAGGAGAGCGUUCUGUAAGCCUGUGAAGGUGUCUUGUAAAGGAUGCUGGAGGUAUCAGAAGUGCGAAUGCUGACAUGAGUAGCGAUAAAGGGGGUGAAAGGCCCCCUCGCCGUAAGCCCAAGGUUUCCUACGCAACGUUCAUCGGCGUAGGGUGAGUCGGCCCCUAAGGCGAGGCAGAGAUGCGUAGCUGAUGGGAAGCAGGUUAAUAUUCCUGCACCGUCGUAUGAUGCGAUGGGGGGACGGAUCGCGGAAGGUUGUCCGGGUGUUGGAAGUCCCGGUCCCUGCAUUGGAGAAGGCGCUCAGGCAAAUCCGGGCGCGGGAUUCAAGGAUGUGGGGCGAGCGGCCUAGUGCUGCGAAGCAAUUGGAAGUGGUUCCAAGAAAAGCCUCUAAGCUUCAGUCAUACGAGACCGUACCGCAAACCGACACAGGUGGGCGAGAUGAGUAUUCUAAGGCGCUUGAGAGAACUCGGGAGAAGGAACUCGGCAAAUUGGUACCGUAACUUCGGGAUAAGGUACGCCCUGGUAGCUUGACUGGCCUGCGCCAGAAGGGUGAAGGGGUUGCAAUAAAAUGGUGGCUGCGACUGUUUAAUAAAAACACAGCACUCUGCAAACACGAAAGUGGACGUAUAGGGUGUGACGCCUGCCCGGUGCCGGAAGAUUAAAUGAUGGGGUGCAAGCUCUUGAUUGAAGUCCCGGUAAACGGCGGCCGUAACUAUAACGGUCCUAAGGUAGCGAAAUUCCUUGUCGGGUAAGUUCCGACCUGCACGAAUGGCGUAACGAUGGCCACACUGUCUCCUCCCGAGACUCAGCGAAGUUGAAGUGUUUGUGAUGAUGCAAUCUCCCCGCGGCUAGACGGAAAGACCCCAUGAACCUUUACUGUAGCUUUGCAUUGGACUUUGAACCGAUCUGUGUAGGAUAGGUGGGAGGCUUUGAAGCGUGGACGCUAGUUCACGUGGAGCCGUCCUUGAAAUACCACCCUGGUUUGUUUGAGGUUCUAACCUUGACCCGUGAAUCCGGGUCGGGGACAGUGCAUGGUAGGCAGUUUGACUGGGGCGGUCUCCUCCCAAAGUGUAACGGAGGAGUUCGAAGGUACGCUUGGUACGGUCGGACAUCGUACCUAAAGUGCAAUGGCAAAAGCGUGCUUAACUGCGAGACCGACAAGUCGAGCAGGUGCGAAAGCAGGACAUAGUGAUCCGGUGGUUCUGAAUGGAAGGGCCAUCGCUCAACGGAUAAAAGGUACUCUGGGGAUAACAGGCUGAUACCGCCCAAGAGUUCAUAUCGACGGCGGUGUUUGGCACCUCGAUGUCGGCUCAUCUCAUCCUGGGGCUGUAGCCGGUCCCAAGGGUAUGGCUGUUCGCCAUUUAAAGAGGUACGUGAGCUGGGUUUAAAACGUCGUGAGACAGUUUGGUCCCUAUCUGCCGUGGGCGUUGGAAUCUUGACGGGGGCUGCUCCUAGUACGAGAGGACCGGAGUGGACGUACCGCUGGUGUACCUGUUGUCUCGCCAGAGGCAUCGCAGGGUAGCUAUGUACGGAAGAGAUAACCGCUGAAAGCAUCUAAGCGGGAAACUCGCCUGAAGAUGAGGAUUCCCUGGCGGCUUGACCGCCUUGAAGGGUCGUUCGAGACCAGGACGUUGAUAGGCUGGGUGUGGAAGCGCAGUAAUGCGUUAAGCUAACCAGUACUAAUUGCCCGUAAGGCUUGAUCCUAUAACCAGUGUGUUUUG